AUGGCCUCCAAUAAAACUACAUUGCAAAAAAUGGGGGAAAAAAACAGAAUGGUAAAAAGUAAAAAAGUUGAAGAGGCAGAGCCUGAAGAAUUUGUGGUGGAAAAAGUACUAGAUCGACAUGUAGUGAAUGGGAAAGUGGAAUAUUUCCUGAAGUGGAAGGGAUUUACAGAUGCGACAAUACUUGGGGACCUGAAGAAAAUUUAGAUUGUCCAGAAUUGAUUGAAGCAUUUCUUAACUCUCAGAAAGCUGGCAAAGAAAAAGAUGGUAAAAAAGAAAAUCUUUAUCUGACAGUGAAUCUGAUGACAGCAAAUCAAAGAAGAAAAGACAUGCUGCUGACAAACCAAGAGGAUUUGCCAGAGGUCUUGAUCCUGAAAGAAUAAUUGGUGCCACAGACAGCAGUGGAGAAUUGAUGUUUCUCAUGAAAUGGAAAGAUUCAGAUGAGGCAGACUUGGUGCUGGCGAAAGAGGCAAAUAUGAAGUGUCCUCAAAUUGUAAUUGCUUUUUAUGAAGAGAGACUAACUUGGCAUUCUUGUCCAGAAGAUGAAGCUCAAUAAUUGUUCACAUUGUUUUUUAU